AGAGUUUGAUCCUGGCUCAGGAUCAACGCUGGCGGCGUGCCUAACGCAUGUAAGUCGCACGGGUCUCCUUCGGGAGACCAGUGGCGAACGGCUGAGGAACACGUACGAACCGGCCCGCUUGUGGGGAAUAACGCGCCGAAAGGCGUGCUAAUACCGCGUACGCUCGGCCUUCGGGUCGAGGAAAGCCGUAAGGCGCAGGCGGAGGGGCGUGCGGCCCAUCAGGUUGUUGGUGGGGUAAUGGCCUACCAAGCCGGUGACGGGUAGCUGGUCUGUGAGGACGAUCAGCCAGACUGGGACUGCGACACGGCCCAGACACCUACGGGUGGCAGCAGCGAGGAAUCUUCCACAAUGGGCGCAAGCCCGAUGGAGCAACGCCGCGUGGAGGACGACGGCCUUCGGGUUGUAAACUCCUUUCGGGGGGGAUGAUACGGACAGUACCCCCAGAAGCAGCCCCGGCUAACUCUGUGCCAGCAGCCGCGGUAAUACAGAGGGGGCAAGCGUUGUCCGGAAUUACUGGGCGUACAGCGCGCGCAGGCGGGGGGUGACGUGCCGUGUGACAGGCGCCGGCUUAACCGGCGUAGGCCAUGGUAAACGCACCGUCUGGAGGCAGGGAGAGGGAUGUGGAAUGCCCGGUGGAGCGGUGAAAUGCGUAGAGAUCGGGCGGAACACCGCGGCGAAGGCGGCAUCCUGGCCCUGACCUGCGCUGAGGCGCGAGAGCGUGGGGAGCAAACCGGAUUAGAUACCCUAGUAGUCC
rnacentral:rRNA from 1 species